GACGAACGCUGGCGGCACGCUUAACACAUGCAAGUCGAACGAGAGAAGAGAAGCUUGCUUUUCUGAUCUAGUGGCGGACGGGUGAGUAACACGUGAGCAAUCUGCCUUUCAGAGGGGGAUACCGAUUGGAAACGAUCGUUAAUACCGCAUAACAUAAUUGAACCGCAUGAUUUGAUUAUCAAAGAUUUAUCGCUGAAGGAUGAGCUCGCGUCUGAUUAGCUAGUUGGUAAGGUAACGGCUUACCAAGGCGACGAUCAGUAGCCGGACUGAGAGGUUGAUCGGCCACAUUGGGACUGAGACACGGCCCAGACUCCUACGGGAGGCAGCAGUGGGGAAUAUUGCACAAUGGAGGAAACUCUGAUGCAGCGAUGCCGCGUGAGGGAAGAAGGUUUUAGGAUUGUAAACCUCUGUCUUCAGGGACGAAAAAAGACGGUACCUGAGGAGGAAGCUCCGGCUAACUACGUG
rnacentral:rRNA from 1 species